UGAUGAUGAUGAUAAUGAUGAUGGUGGUGAUAGGGAUGAUGGUGGUGAUAUCCACUAUGCCACCACCAAAACCACUACCACCGCCGUCGCCGCCGUCGCCGCCGCCGUCGCCGCCACCACCAUCAUCAUCAUCAUCAUCAUCAUCAUCAUCAUCA
rnacentral:pre_miRNA from 1 species